rnacentral:lncRNA from 1 species
CGGCCCCGCUCUCGCGCGGUUUGAGCUCGCGUGGCGCCGCAGGGGCCGACGGGAGCGUCAGCCGCGCUGAAGGGGGCCGACAUGGCGGCGGCGGCGGCGGCUUCGCUUCGCGGGGCGGUGAUGGGCCCUCGGGGCGCGGGCCUCCCGGGCGCACCUGCCCGGAGGCUGCUGGGCGGCGCACGGCCUGGGCAGCUCCCCCUGCGGACGCCUCAGGUGAGCGCUGGCCCGGGUCCUGGCCCUCGCGCGCCCCGCAGCCGGUGAAGGUCACGGCGGGGAGGCUUCGGGCGCGCGCGGCCAGCGGGGCGAGAUGGGCCCGCACGCAACGUCCCCCUGGGGCCAGGUCCUUGCUGCCGGUCGGCACAGCCCGGGAGCUUUGCGCACGCUUCGGAGCGGCAGGGCGCCUCGGACCUGGCACGGGGGUGGCGGGCGGGCUCGCGAGGGUCGGGGCAGGGGUCUUCGUGCUCAGGGCGUGCCUGGAACGGCUCCCGCCGCACGCUGUCCAGACUGGGCCCGCGUCCUGAAGUAACCUCUAGCCUGACCUCGGCAGCUGCCGGUGACCUUGGUCACUACGGCCUGACCCCCGGCUCAGGAUCCAAGAGCACUCCUCACCACCUCCUCAGAGUCAAAUCCCGGCCCAGGGGUCGGCAGCGGAGAGGGAUGCGGUGGGCAGCGCGCAGGCCAUGAUGCUGGUGCGCCAGUACUGGGUGGAUGAGUGGGAGAGGUGGGCGCCUAGUCAGAUCCCCAGCCCGGCGGGUGGUGUCCUGGCAGGCGCUGAGCGGGGCUCUUGCAGGCAGUAUCCUUGUCCUCGAAGUCUGGCCUUUCCCGCGGGCGGAAGGUGAUGCUGUCAGCGCUGGGCAUGCUGGCGGCGGGUAGUGCAGGGCUGGCAGUGGCUCUGCAUUCUGCUGUGAAUGCCAGUGACCUGGAGCUGCACCCCCCCAGCUAUCCGUGGUCUCACCGUGGCCUCCUCUCUUCCUUGGACCACACCAGGUGCGCAGCUGGCCGGCUUGCUGGCCUGGGGUUUCUGGGUGGAGUGGAAUCUUCAGUUCCCUUAAAACUUUCUCUCUUUUUAGCAUCCGGAGGGGUUUCCAGGUAUAUAAGCAGGUGUGCUCUUCCUGCCACAGCAUGGACUACGUGGCUUACCGCCACCUGGUGGGCGUGUGCUACACUGAGGAUGAAGCUAAGGCCCUAGCUGAAGAGGUGUGGAACCCUGGAGACAGAGUGUUCGGGGUUGGGGCUCCCACUGUGAUGUGAUGGCAGGAUUGUAAUGAGGCUCUUGGUGGCAGGUGGAGGUCCAGGAUGGCCCCAAUGAGGAUGGAGAGAUGUUCAUGCGGCCAGGGAAGCUGUCUGACUACUUCCCCAAACCGUACUCCAACCCUGAGGCUGCCAGGGCUGCCAAUAAUGGAGCCUUGCCCCCUGACCUCAGUUAUAUAGUUCGAGCUAGGUAAAGGGGCUGCCCACAGGGUGGAACUGGAGAGGGGAACUGACUUCUGUCAGGGACUAAGAAGCCGUGAAUCUGGUUCCAGGCAUGGUGGUGAGGACUAUGUCUUCUCCUUGCUCACGGGGUACUGUGAGCCACCCACUGGCGUGUCUCUACGAGAAGGCCUCUAUUUCAACCCCUACUUCCCUGGCCAGGCCAUCGGCAUGGCCCCUCCCAUCUACACUGAUGUCUUGGAGUUUGAUGAUGGUGAGAGUCCUUCACCAUGAAUCCUUUCCCAUCCCCCAGGGAUGCUUGCCUUAUAUUUCUGGGCCUGAGAGAUCCUGCCCCUUUCUUGGCUGGGGUGUUUUGUGCAUGCAUGAGGAGAUUUUCACAGUCUUGUGGGGUCCUGUCCCUUUGAAACCUUGGGUAGAGGUCAGUCUCUACCUCCAUGGAACAGAGUGCACUGAGGGUUACCCCAGGUUGGUCAUGAGCCCCAAAAGGUAAUUUUCAUUAUGUGUCCUUGGCCCAGGUACUCCAGCUACCAUGUCCCAGGUAGCUAAGGAUGUGUGUACUUUCCUGCGCUGGGCGUCUGAGCCAGAACAUGACCAUCGCAAACGCAUGGGACUCAAGGUGAAGGAUUGGGCAAGGGAGCUACAGUGAGUAUGGGAGAACAGUUGGGAAGGAUCCUUCCUAGCCCCCUUUUCUGAGCCUGUUUUGUCCCCAGAUGUUGAUGAUGAUGGGCUUGCUGCUGCCUUUGAUCUACGCCAUGAAGCGGCAUAAGUGGUCAGUCCUGAAGAGUCGAAAGCUGGCAUAUAGGCCACCCAAGUGACCCUUUCCAGCAUCUACUUGCCAUCUUGCCUGAACAGACCCUCAAGCCCAGGAGCCAUCCUAGGCCUGUUCAGGCCUUACCUGGCCCACUCGGCCCGGCCCCUCUUCGUCUGGGAUGAGGGAGGGGGCAGGAGACUGGGCCUUGGCUCCAGAUUUCAUUUAGCCUCAUCAUGGGAAUAAAUUAAGUUUCUCAACAUACACAUUUGAACUUUUAUCUGACAAGAGUGUAGUCUUGC